ncrna:Desulfitobacterium hafniense Y51 Fluoride riboswitch
AAUCAGAUAGGCGAUGGAGUUCGCCUUUAACCGCCGCUUGGCUAAUGACUCCUGCCGGUUA